UACGUAGGGGGCAAGCGUUGUCCGGAUUUAUUGGGCGUAAAGAGCUCGUAGGCGGCUUGUCACGUCGGGUGUGAAAGCCCGGGGCUUAACCCCGGGUCUGCAUUCGAUACGGGCUAGCUAGAGUGUGGUAGGGGAGAUCGGAAUUCCUGGUGUAGCGGUGAAAUGCGUAGAUAUCAGGAGGAACACCGGUGGCGAAAGCGCGUAACUGGGUCAUAACUGACGCUGAGGAACGAAAGCCAGGGUAGCAAAAAGG
rnacentral:rRNA from 1 species